GCGAAAGCGGGGCUAAUACCGAAUAAUAUUUCAGUUUCCACGGGAAUUGAAAUCAAAGAUGGCCUCUGCAUGCAAGCUAUUGCUCAUGGAUGGGCCCGCGUACCAUUAGCUUGUUGGUAGGGUAAAAGCCUACCAAGGCAACGAUGGUUAGCUGGUCUAAGAGGAUGACCAGCCACACUGGAACUGAGACACGGUCCAGACUCCUACGGGAGGCAGCAGUGGGGAAUCUUGCGCAAUGGGGGAAACCCUGACGCAGCAACGCCGCGUGGGUGAUGAAGGCCUUCGGGUCGUAAAGCCCUGUCAGGUGGGAAGAAACAUGCCGGUAUGAACAAUGCCGGCACUUGACGGUACCACCGGAGGAAGCACCGGCUAACUCCGUGCCAGCAGCCGCGGUAA
rnacentral:rRNA from 1 species